rnacentral:rRNA from 1 species
GAUGAACGCUGGCGGCGUGCCUAAUACAUGCAAGUCGAGCGAACGGACGAGAAGCUUGCUUCUCUGAUGUUAGCGGCGGACGGGUGAGUAACACGUGGAUAACCUACCUAUAAGACUGGGAUAACUUCGGGAAACCGGAGCUAAUACCGGAUAAUAUUAUGAACCGCAUGGUUCAAAAUUGAAAGACGGUCUUCCUUCCACUUAAAGAUGGACCCCGCUGCAUUAGCUAGUUUGUAAGGUAACGGCUUACCAAGGCAACGAUGCAUAGCCGACCUGAGAGGGUGAUCGGCCACACUGGAACUGAGACACGGUCCAGACUCCUACGGGAGGCAGCAGUAGGGAAUCUUCCGCAAUGGGCGAAAGCCUGACGGAGCAACGCCGCGUGAGUGAUGAAGGUCUUCGGAUCGUAAAACUCUGUUAUUAGGGAAGAACAUAUGUGUAAGUAACUGUGCACAUCUUGACGGUACCUAAUCAGAAAGCCACGGCUAACUACGUG